rnacentral:rRNA from 1 species
GAUGAACGCUGGCGGCGUGCCUAAUACAUGCAAGUCGAGCGAACAGACGAGGAGCUUGCUCCUCUGACGUUAGCGGCGGACGGGUGAGUAACACGUGGAUAACCUACCUAUAAGACUGGGAUAACUUCGGGAAACCGGAGCUAAUACCGGAUAAUAUAUUGAACCGCAUGGUUCAAUAGUGAAAGACGGUUUUGCUGUCACUUAUAGAUGGCUCCGCGCCGCAUUAGCUAGUUGGUAAGGUAACGGCUUACCAAGGCAACGAUGCGUAGCCGACGUGAGAGGGGGAAGGGCCACAGUGAAAGUGACACACGGCCCACACCACUAGGAGGGGGAGCUGUAGAGAAUUUGCCGAAGGGGGCGAGACCCUGACGGAGAAACCCCGCGGGAGAAAUGAGGGUUCUCGGUGCAUAAACCUCUGUUAGGAGGGAAAAAAAAAUGUGUAAGUAACUAUCCGUGUUUAGACGGCACAAAAAAAGAAAGCCAGGGCUAACCAUG